UGGGGGAUUUUGCACAAUGGGCGCAAGCCUGCUGCAGCGACGCCGCGUGAGGGAUGAAGGCCUUCGUGUUGUAAACCUCUUUCGCUGGGUUGAAAGGCCAUGCUUUGGGUGUGGUUGAUUUGAACGGGUAAAGAAGUACCGGCCAACUACGUGCCAGCAGCCGCGGUAAUACUUAGAGUACUAGCGUUGCCCGGAUUUAUUGGGCGUAAAGGGCUUGUAGGUGGUUUGUCGCGUCUGUCGUGAAAUCCUGUGGCUUAACCAUUGGCAUGCGGUGGGUACGGUGAAGCUUGAGUGCGGUAGGGGGGACUGGAAUUCCUGGUGUAGAGGUGGAAUACGCAGAUAUCAGGAGGAACACCGGUGGCGAAGGCGGGUCUCUGGGCCAUUACUGACACUGAGGAGCGAAAGCGUGGGGAGCGAACAGG
rnacentral:rRNA from 1 species